rnacentral:rRNA from 1 species
GACGAACGCUGGCGGCGUGCUUAACACAUGCAAGUCGAACGAAGUGGCGAACGGGUGAGUAACGCGUAAUCAACCUGCCCUUCAGUGGGGUACAACAGUUGGAACCGACUGCUCAUACCGCAUACUGAAGGUGGGGAUUGCGUCUGAUACGGUAGUUGGGGGGGGAACGGCCCACCAAGGCGAAGAUCAGGAGCCGGUCUGGGGGGGUGAACGGCCAAAGUGGGAAUGGGACACGGGCCAAACGUCUACGGGGGGGAGCAGUGGGGAAACAUCCGCAAUGGAGGGAAGUCUGGCGGAGCAACGCCGCGGGAGGGAUGACGGCCUUCGGGUUGUAAAGCUCUGUUAAUCGGGACGCGGUACCAGAAUAAAAAGCCCCGGCUAACUCCGUGCCAGCAGCCGCGGUAAUAC